ACUCCCCAUCACAUCUUAAUAGGAGUUUCCUUCCAUAAGUAUUAUAAACUCCUGAAACAGGUUAAGAUCAUCCAGUUUUACACUGCCAGUAAUACCAACAAAAAGCUUCUUCAAGGAAUCGCUCUACCUACUCUGCUAAAUGUCUAUCUUCCUAUGCACAGGCAAUACUGAACACUGCAGAGGGAAAAUUUCAGCCAGCUUCAGUGAAAACCAUAAGACUGACAAAUUGAAUAAAAAUGAGCUGGACUUGAAUCAACUGACUGGAGCAUCUCUUCCCACUGAGCCCAUGCUCUGAGCUGUCUGACUGGGAUCCAACUCUGACUGGAAUUAAUGCAGCCAUAAAGUGAAGAACCACACCUGAACUAACAGCCUACACCUCUGAGCCAGGUUUUUAAGCUGCUAAGACAGACAGACAGACACAUGGCUUCCAAACCAGUGAGCCUCCCUUAGCCAAUGUAUGCAGCAGGACAACAAGCCUGCAAAUUGUUCAUACUUGAACAUGGACAUGACUGUAGAGCAGAAAGGCCAAUAUUAAACUCCAAAAAUCCCAUGCAUUCUGCAUUUUGAAAUAUAAAAUGCAGUAAUACAUAGGAUUAUUAAAGCUAAAAGUUGUACUAGACUAAGACUUACCCACCAAUAGCACAUGAACCAAACCCAGCCCAGACGAAAAUACCAUCCCAGCCAGAUCUGCUCUCUGCCUCUUCCUUUCUCAGAGACACCUGAUAUAGUGAAAGAAAUGUGUGUGCCCUCAGUU